UACAGAGGGUGCAAGCGUUAAUCGGAAUUACUGGGCGUAAAGCGUGCGCAGACGGUUGCGUAAGUCAGAUGUGAAAGCCCCGGGCUCAACCUGGGAAUUGCAUUCGAGACUGCGUAGCUAGGGUGCGGAAGAGGGAAGCGGAAUUUCCGGUGUAGCGGUGAAAUGCGUAGAUAUCGGAAGGAACACCAGUGGCGAAGGCGGGUCUCUGGGCCGAUACUGACGCUGAGGAGCGAAAGCGUGGGGAGCGAACAGG
rnacentral:rRNA from 1 species